UACAGAGGUGCCAAGCGUUAGGCGGAAUCACUGGGCUUAAAGCGCGCGUAGGCGGACCUGCAAGUCGGGGGUGAAAGCCCGAGGCUCAACCUCGGAACUGCCUUCGAUACUGCGGGUCUCGAGUCCGGGAGAGGUGAGUGGAAUUCCUAGUGUAGAGGUGAAAUUCGUAGAUAUUAGGAAGAACACCAGUGGCGAAGGCGGCUCACUGGCCCGGUACUGACGCUGAGGCGCGAAAGCGUGGGGAGCAAACAGG
rnacentral:rRNA from 1 species